rnacentral:rRNA from 1 species
GAGUUAAUGCUUGGGAAUAUGCCUUAGGGUGGGGGACAACAGUUGGAAACGACUGCUAAUACCGCAUAACGUCUACGGACCAAAGGGGGCUUCGGCUCUCGCCCUUAGAUUAGCCCAAGUGGGAUUAGCUAGUUGGUGAGGUAAUGGCUCACCAAGGCGACGAUCCCUAGCUGGUUUGAGAGGAUGAUCAGCCACACUGGAACUGAGACACGGUCCAGACUCCUACGGGAGGCAGCAGUGGGGAAUAUUGCACAAUGGGCGCAAGCCUGAUGCAGCCAUGCCGCGUGUGUGAAGAAGGCCUUAGGGUUGUAAAGCACUUUCAGUAAGGAGGAAAGGUUAGUAGUUAAUACCUGCUAGCUGUGACGUUACUUACAGAAGAAGCACCGGCUAACUCCGUGCCAGCAGCCGCGGUAAUACGGAGGGUGCGAGCGUUAAUCGGAAUUACUGGGCGUAAAGCGUACGCAGGCGGUUUGUUAAGCGAGAUGUGAAAGCCCCGGGCUCAACCUGGGAACUGCAUUUCGAACUGGCAAACUAGAGUAUGAUAGAGGGUGGUAGAAUUUCAGGUGUAGCGGUGAAAUGCGUAGAGAUCUGAAGGAAUACCGAUGGCGAAGGCAGCCACCUGGGUCAAUACUGACGCUCAUGUACGAAAGCGUGGGGAGCAAACGGGAUUAGAUACCCCGGUAGUCCACGCCGUAAACGAUGUCUACUAGGAGCUGGGGUCUUCGGACAACUUUUCCAAAGCUAACGCAUUAAGUAGACCGCCUGGGGAGUACGGCCGCAAGGUUAAAAACUCAAAUGAAAUUGACGGGGGGCCCCGCAC